GACGUAGGGCGCGAGCGUUGUCCGGAUUUAUUGGGCGUAAAGAGCUCGUAGGCGGUCUGUCGCGUCUGCUGUGAAAUCCCGAGGCUCAACCUCGGGUCUGCAGUGGGUACGGGCAGACUAGAGUGCGGUAGGGGAGAAUGGAACUCCUGGUGUAGCGGUGGAAUGCGCAGAUAUCAGGAAGAACACCGAUGGCGAAGGCAGUUCUCUGGGCCGUAACUGACGCUGAGGAGCGAAAGCGUGGGGAGCGAACAGG
rnacentral:rRNA from 1 species